rnacentral:misc_RNA from 1 species
UCCAGUUUGACACUGGCAGUCCCCUUAGAGUGCCCAACUUAAUGAUGGCAACAAAGGGAGUGGGUUGCGCUCGUUGCGGGACUUAACCCAACAUCUCACGACACGAGCUGACGACAGCCAUGCAGCACCUGUGUAUCUGUCUCCGAAGAGAAAGCCUUGUUUCCAAGAACGAUCAAAUACAUGUCAAGACCAGGAUAAGGUUCUUCGCGUUGCGUCGAAUUAAACCACAUGCUCCACUGCUUGUGCGGGUCCCCGUCAAUUUCUUUGAGUUUUAAUCUUGCGACCGUACUUCCCAGGCGGGGUGCUUAACGCGUUAGCUCCGUCACUGAAAGGGUUAACACUUCCAACGACAAGCACCCAUCGUUUAGGGCAUGGACUAC